AACGAACGCUGGCGGCAGGCUUAACACAUGCAAGUCGAACGCCCUGGUAACAGGGAGUGGCAGACGGGUGAGUAACGCGUGGGAACGUACCCUUUACUACGGAAUAACUCAGGGAAACUUGUGCUAAUACCGUAUGUGCCCUUCGGGGGAAAGAUUUAUCGGUAAAGGAUCGGCCCGCGUUGGAUUAGCUAGUUGGUGGGGUAAAGGCCUACCAAGGCGACGAUCCAUAGCUGGUCUGAGAGGAUGAUCAGCCACAUUGGGACUGAGACACGGCCCAAACUCCUACGGGAGGCAGCAGUGGGGAAUAUUGGACAAUGGGCGCAAGCCUGAUCCAGCCAUGCCGCGUGAGUGAUGAAGGCCCUAGGGUUGUAAAGCUCUUUCACCGGUGAAGAUAAUGACGGUAACCGGAGAAGAAGCCCCGGCUAACUUCGUGCCAGCCGCCGCGGUAAGAC
rnacentral:rRNA from 1 species